rnacentral:lncRNA from 1 species
CGUUAGGACUCGCGGCCCCGCCCAGCCCUCAGCGCCUCACGGUAGAUGGAGGCGGUGGUGCCACGCUUGGACGCGGUAGCCGAAGCGAAUGCAAAUGAGCAAAUCCAAAAGCGACAGAGUUAGUGAUUUUUCCAGUCGUGUCCUCGUCGCAGUGUUUGUACUUUACAUGCGGUUAUAAUACUGGUGAUUGUACAUUAUGCUUGCUCUGUGCUUCCAUAGUACGCUUGCUCAGGGGAGGAGUCUUACUGACCUAUAGGUGUGAUUUUUGGUAUCAUAAUGCAGACAGGUAACAACUCAGCUCUGGACAGAACUGCAUGGGUGAGAGAAGAAGUCACCUGCCACGUCCCUUCUUGUCCCUGACUGCUCUGCUAACACCACUUGCAGAGAUGGCAUUUGAAAGGCCAGCUUGUGCCCACAGACAACUCAAAAUGAGGAAUCACAGAACUAUUACGCUUGGAACAGACCUCUAAGAUCAUCUAGUCUGACCAUAAACUCAUCAUCAGAGAUUUGCAUGGCUUAUCCAUCUGGACUCCAAG